UACGGGGGGGAGCAAGCGUUGUUCGGAUUUACUGGGCGUAAAGGGCGCGUAGGCGGCCAGCACAAGUCAGUUGUGAAAUCCCCGGGCUCAACCCGGGAACUGCGUCCGAUACUGGCAGGCUUGAAUCCGGGAGAGGGAUGCGGAAUUCCAGGUGUAGCGGUGAAAUGCGUAGAUAUCUGGAGGAACACCGGUGGCGAAGGCGGCAUCCUGGACCGGCAUUGACGCUGAGGCGCGAAAGCCAGGGGGAGCAAACGGG
rnacentral:rRNA from 1 species